rnacentral:lncRNA from 1 species
AUACAGUUGAUUUUGACAGCAUGAUUUUUAGAAUAAAAUGAAUUUAUAAUCAGAUAUUUUUAAAGUUAAAUUUAAUUCAAUUAAAUCAUUUGAUUUGCAAGUUAUUUGAAUAUAACUGUUUCAGUAUAGCUAAAGUUAUUGUUAAAACCACCAGAAAGUACCCAAGUGAUUUUAACCCAGUCUGCACUGGUGUGAAUGUGUUUUCAUAUUGUAUGACUAGUUAUAAUGAUUUUACCCGCUCUGCACUAUUGUGAAUGUGUUUCCAUAGUGUAUGACCAGAUUAUCAGUGGUCUUUGUGACCCACUCUCGUACACACAUAGGCUUUGAGCCGUGUACUAGGGUGAUUAAAAGAUAGCUCUGCGUACGUAUGACCAGAUUAUCAGAAUAUCAGAUUUGAAUGGCUCUGCCUUGUGUAUCGACAUUACUCUGUACAUGAGUAAGGCAAUUCAUCGGGUACCUUUUUGGUGUGAUUUUCAGUAUUUCUACAGCUUAACAGAUUUCAGAUUAUAAAAUUCAGUCUAUUCAAUUCUCAGAUUAAAGCUUUCAGCUUAUAGUAUUGAUCAGCAGCAAUAUUUCAUAUAUUUUCACGGAUGUCGUAUUAUUUAUAUUCAUUACAUUUUAUAGUUACUUAUCUAGAAUAAAG